rnacentral:rRNA from 1 species
AGCAUAUCAAUAAGCGGAGGAAAAGAAACUAACAAGGAUUCCCCUAGUAGCGGCGAAGCGAAGCGGGAAAAGCUCAAAUUUGUAAUCUGGCGCUUUCGGCGUCCGAGUUGUAAUCUCGAGAAGUGUUUUCCGCGUCAGACCGCACACAAGUCUCCUGGAACGGAGCGUCAUAGUGGUGAGAACCCAGUACACGGUGCGGAUGCCUGAUGCUUUGUGAUACACUUUCGAAGAGUCGAGUUGUUUGGGAAUGCAGCUCAAAUUGGGUGGUAAAUUCCAUCUAAAGCUAAAUAUUGGCGAGAGACCGAUAGCGAACAAGUACCGUGAGGGAAAGAUGAAAAGCACUUUGGAAAGAGAGUUAACAGUACGUGAAAUUGUUGGAAGGGAAACGCUUGAAGUCAGACUUGCUAUUCGGAGCUUGCUUCGAUUCGCAGGCCCGCAUCAGUUUUUCGGGGCGGAAAAUCGUAGAGAGAAGGUAGCAGUUUCGGCUGUGUUAUAGCUUUCUACUGGAUUCGUCCUGGGGGACUGAGGAACGCAGCGUGCUUUUUGCAUGGGCUUCGGCCUAUCCACGCUUAGGAUGCGGGUGGAAUGGCUUUAAACGACCCGUCUUGAAACACGGACCAAGGAGUCUAACAUGCUUGCGAGUAUUUGGGUGUCAAACCCGGAUGCGCAAUGAAAGUGAAUGGAGGUGGGAAGCGCAAGCUGCACCAUCGACCGAUCUGGAUUUUCUAAGAUGGAUUUGAGUAAGAGCAAGUAUGUUGGGACCCGAAAGAUGGUGAACUAUGCCUGAAUAGGGUGAAGCCAGAGGAAACUCUGGUGGAGGCUCGUAGCGGUUCUGACGUGCAAAUCGAUCGUCAAAUUUGGGUAUAGGGGCGAAAGACUAAUCGAACCAUCUAGUAGCUGGUUCCUGC